UUUUUUUUUUUUUUUUUUAAUUAAUUAAUUAGUUAAUUAAACAACAAAAAUGAUAAUAAUAAAACAAUAAUAAUUAAUGAUGAAAACAACUUAAUUAACAUUAGAUAAAAAUAAACUAAAAACAACAAAAAUAAACAAAUUUCCAUUUUUCAUUUUCAUUUUUUCUUUUCUUUUGUUUUCGAAAUAACCUAACCAAAAAAUAAAUAAAGUCAAAAGAUUGAAUUUAAAAAGAAAUAAACAUAUUUUGUGAACAAUUUUCUUCCCUUUCCUUUUUUUCUUUUUCCAAGACAAAAAUUGAAUUUUAAAACAACUAAAACAUAUUUUCUUUUCUUUUUAGAAAUUCUACAUUAAAAAGACUAAAAAUAAUAAAAAAAAUAAAACAAGUAAACGACUAAAGAAAAUAAAAAGAAUAACUAAGAUAAACUAGCAUGAACAUAAAUAAAUAAAUCGUACCAAAAUUUGGUGUCUACAGUUUGCCCCUCUUUGUCUGAGUUUUGGAAAAACUUGAGACAAAGAAGUAGACACCAAACACUUACCUGUGUCAUUCGGUCACGAACGACUCGAACGACUGCCAUUUUUUGAAAAUGAGGACUGACCUCUUUUGAAAGAAAAAUUUAACAAGGAAUUGACUGAGACAAGAAAUUUAAAGCGGGACUGACCCGAACAAGAAUUUAAACGGGACUGAUCCGAACAGAAAUUUAAACGGGACUGACCCGGACAGGAAAUUAAAAUUGGGACUGACUAGAGAAGGAAAUUUAAAUCAUGGGACUAGCCCGCAUAAGCUUUAAUCGCGGGACUGACCCGAAUAAGCUUUGAAUCGCGGGACUGACCCGAACAGGCUUUGAAUUGUGGGACUGACCCGCAUAAGCUUUGAAUCGUGGGACUGACCCGAAUAAGCUUUUGAUCAUGGGACUGACCCGUAUAAGCUUUUGAUCAUGGGACUGACCCGAAUAAGCUUUUGAUCAUGGGACUGACCCGAAUAAUGCUUUUGAUCGUGGGACUGACCCGAAAAUGCUUUUGGUCAUGGGACUGACCCGAAAAUCCUUUUUGAUCGUGGGACUGACCCGAAAAUGCUUUUGAUCAUGGGACUGAC
rnacentral:lncRNA from 1 species